rnacentral:rRNA from 1 species
AUUGAACGCUGGCGGCAGGCCUAACACAUGCAAGUCGAGCGAGCGGAGGACGGGUGAGUAAUGUAUGGGGACUGCCCGAUCGAGGGGGAUAACUGCGGGAAACGGUGGAUAAUACCGCAUACUAUCGGCUAACCCAGAUGGGAUUAGCGAGUAGGUGGGGUAAAGGCUCACCUGGGCGACGAUGUCUAGCAGGUCUGAGAGGGUGAUCAGCCACACUGGGACUGGGCCACGGCCCAGACUCCUACGGAGGCAUCAGUUGGGAAUCUUGGCCAAUUGGCGCAAUCCUGAUCGAGCCAUGCCGCGUGUAUGAAGAAGGCUUUAGGGUUGUAAAACUCUUUUAUCGGAGAAGCGGUACCCGCACAAAAAGCACCGGCUAACUCCGGGCCAGCCGCCGCGGUAAUAC